CAUCUGUUGCCUGCGCGGCCAGGGCCCUGCAGAGCCACCAGGGGAUAUCCUGCACACGCAAGAGUGGGAACCUCCGCCUCGGGACUGGGAGGGAGAGGUGCCUAAACUUUGAGGACUCCAGCUGAUUCACACGCCCAGAGAGGCUUCCCGGCGAAUGACAGCCUGUGUAUCAGGCCAGGAGAGGGGCCCGGGCUGGGCUGGUGAGACUCGGCACCGCUCUUUCAGUUCACUGGAUCCCUUUUCUCAGCCAAGCGACCCUGGCAGGUUUCCCAAGGGAUGAAAACCCUGCGUGGGGGAGUGAGUUCUGGAGGCCAGAAGCCGGAGAUCAUAGCGUCGAAAUGCAGGCCCCACUGCAGGCUCGGGGGGAGUCCGUGCUCUGCUGCCUCCAGCUUCGGGCGGCUGUCGACUUUCUCUGGUGCUAUUCUCAGGACCCCGGGAUGAGGACGUGGACAUAUCUUUUGGGGGCCACUGUUCAGCCCCCUACACUCACCUAGAGCCUCCAGGAGGACCCCGCCCUGCCGACACCCUUAGUCCUGUUAAGAUCUGACUCCCAGAACUGCAGAAUAAACUCACAUUGCUCAAGGCCGUGAGGUUGGUGGUAAUUUGUUACAGCAGCUGUAGGAAAUGAACACACUGUAUUUACUGACAUGAAAAGACACACUGUCGAGUGACACUCAGGCAGGACACUAACCCGGGUUAUGGUAAGAACCGCUUUAUAUCACAGAAGUCUGUGUGCCAGGCUGCUCUCAGGGGAGGGCACCCAGCAGAGGGGCCGGGACAGGAGGCAGGCUCGGUGGAGGCCCAGAGCAGUGUGGCCGCUUGUCACCCGCCUACCCCCAUCCCCACCCCGCCACUUGUCCUCCUCCCUCCUCCACACUCUUCCAGAAAAGAUUUAAGGACAGGCCCUCCCUGCCGCUCCCCCCUCAAGUUCUCUUCCUUUCUCCUCCUCCCUCGCCUGCCUCACUUCCCCACAGUUCCCUAGAAGCUAGCUUAAAGCCAGGCCCCUGGGGGAGACGACGAGGGGGCAAGAUGAAGAUGGAGGGAGGGUGACAUGGGCCAUCAAGGAUGAUGUUGGGAGACCUGGGGACUCUGGAGGGGGUGCCUUGCCUCUUAGCACCAAGGAAAUCGGUUCUGGGAGGCGACCCUGCUCCCACAGACCCGUUUGACUUGAAGCACCUCCUCCUGGCCUAGAUUCCCCAUUCUGCUUGUGCUAAACCCCACAUCCCCCAGGGGGCUGUGGGGCACCAGGCCCACUCCCUCACGAGUCAGGAGUGCGGGGCCCCAGGGCCCGAGGCCGCCCCUUGCCCACGGUGGUGGAUCCGAUGAGCGGAGCACUCUGUCAGCCUCCUCGCAUCCACCCCCACCAGCCUCACCCAACCCCCUCCCCACUCCCUUUCUGAGGUUCCUCCUCAGAGUCCCCAACUUCCUGGCAAAGGUUCUCCAGCUAGGCUCUCCCAAGAAAGCCGUCCACGGUCAGAUGGGAAUGUUUCCAGUUCACGGUGAGGCUCUGAGGAGAGACACUAAGUUUUUAGAGCUUGGUUCUCCUCUGUGCUCAGGUACUCACUCUCCCUGGGGCCUCAGUGUCGGCAGAGCUCAGCCCCUGGGGAGAGUCCCUGGUGUCCAGCAUCACAGCACAGGCCAGCUUGGCUUAAAGGAGAGUGUCGCUUCUAUUGGCUUUUCAGAGAGAAAACUAAAUUAUCCAUCCAAUUCAAAAGUGGAAAACUUCCAUUCAUUUAAAAAUUCUUUCAUAGCAGAUUGGGGGCUGGGGCUGGGGAAUGGGAAGUGACAGCUUAAUGGGUACGAGGCUCCCUUUUGGGUUGAUGAAAAUGGAACUAGAUAGGGAUGGCAGUGGUACAGCAUUUGACUAUCCUAAAUGCCUCUGAAUUGUUCGCUUUAAAAUGGCUGUUUUUAUGUUGUGUGAAUUUCACCUCAAAAAAAUUAUUCCUUUCUUUUCAACGAAAAUAUAUGGAGCGUUGACUGUGUUUCACAUACUGUUGAAUGUCCUGGGGACAUAUUGACGAGGAAGACACGCAAGAUGCCCACCCCACAGAGCAUAAGGUCUAGUGAAACAUACAGCGUUCAGUGGAACUAAGCCGAGAAACGCAUCGCGGUUCCAUCUCUGCUAAGCUGCUGGCAGAAUGAUGUUGAAAAGAGAAGAUUGAGAGAGCAGGAGUCCUGGGUGCCUGGAAUUACUCUCUGGAAGACGAAUGUGUGAUCUGGGCACAGAGCCGCUGUGACCUUCAGAAUGGCUGUGCCAGCACGUCCAGGGCUGGAGGACCAGGCUGGGGUCUGCACAGACCUCCUGUGAAAGACACUGCAGAAGGCAGCCCGUGGACGGGGUGGACAUGUUUGCGGCAUCCAACAAAGGUACACAGUUGUAUAUUCUUCGUUGUGGGUCCUUCUAGUUGUGGCGUGUGGGAUGCUGCCUCAGCGUGGUUUGAUGAGCAGUGCCAUGUCUGCGCCCAGGAUUUGAACCAACGAAACACUGGGCCGCCUGCAGCGGAGCGCACAAACUUAACCACUCGGCCAUGGGGCCAGACCCCAUUUUAACCAUUUUAAAGUGUACAAUUCAGUGGCAUUUACUACAUUCACAGUAUUGGGCAACCGUCACCAUUAUCUGGCUCCAGAACAUUUCAGCACCCCAAAAGGGAAAUUCUGUACCCAUCAGCAGUCAGUCCCAAUGCCUCCCAACUCCUGGCAACCACUAAUCUACUUUCCAUCUCUAUGCGUUUGUCUGUUCUGGACAUUUUGUAUAAAUGGAG
rnacentral:lncRNA from 1 species